rnacentral:rRNA from 1 species
UAAACAUGCCUCGGGCUCUCUGGUGAAUCAUGAUAACUAGUCGAAUCGACAGGCCUUGUGCCGGCGAUGGUCAUUCAAAUUUCUUCCCUAUCAACUUUCGAUGUUUGGGUAUUGUCCAAACAUGGUGGCAACGGGUAACGGAGGGUUAGGGCUCGACCCCGGAGAAGGAGCCUGAGAAACGGCUACUACAUCCCAAGGAAGGCAGCAGGCGCGCAAAUUACCCAAUCCCGACACGGGGAGGUAGUGACAAUAAAUACUGAUCACAGGGCUCUUUUGGGUCUUGUAAUCGGAAUGAGUACAAUUUAAAUCCCUUAACGAGGAACAAUUUGGAGGGCAAGUCUGGUGCCAAGCAAGCCGCGGUAAUUCCAGCUCCCAAUAGGCGUCAUAUCUCAAAGUCUGUUGUGGUUAAAAAGCUCGUAGUUGAACCUUGGGCCUGGCUGGCCGGUCCGCCUCACCGGUGCACUGGUCCGGCCGGGCCUUUCCCUCUGCGGAACCCCAUGCCCUUCACUGGGUGUGGCGGGGAAACAGGACUUUUACUUUGAAAAAAUCCAGAGUGCUCAAGGCAGGCCUAUGCUUCGAAUAACAUUCAGCAUUGGCAAAUCAACUCAGGAACUCAGGGAACGGUGGUCGGUUCUUUAUUCCCUGGGUCCGGGGUUUUUUCCUUAAAGGGGAAACC